AGCACCCCGGGAGGGGAGUGAAAAAGAACCUGAAACCCUGUGCCUACAAGCACCUAGAGCACGUCAAUGUGUGAUAGGGUACUUUUUGUAGAACGGUCCGGCGAGCGAUUGUAUGCAGCAAGGUUAAGGACUUAAGGUCUGGAGCCGAAGCGAAAGCGAGUUUGAAAAGGGCGUUAAGUUGCAUACAAUGGGCCCGAAACCGGGUGACCUACCCAUGGUCAGGUUGAAGUGGAAGUAAAAUUCCAUGGAGGACCGAACCGACCUCCGUUGAAAAGGCGGCGGAUGAACUGUGGGUAGCGGAGAAAUUCCAAUCGAACCCGGAGAUAGCUGGUUCUCCCCGAAAUAGUUUUAGGACUAGCCUCAAGUUAGAUACCUGGAGGUAAAGCACUGAAUAGCCUAGCGGCCGAGAGGUUAGCGAAGCUUAUCAAACUCAGAAUGCCAGAGUAUUGAUGCUUGGGAGUCAGACAGUGUCAGAUAAAUGUCAUUGUCAAAAGGGAAACAGCCCAGAUCUACAGCUAAGGUCCCAAAGUCAGGUUAAGUGGAAAACGAUGUGAAGAUACGCAGACAACCAGGAUGUUGGCUCAGAAGCAGCCACACAUUCAAAGAGUGCGUAAUAGCUCACUGGUCGAGCGUCUUUGCGCGGAGAAUUUAACGGGGCUAAACCUGACACCGAAGCUUAGGCAAUACAGUAAUGUAUUGGGUAGGGGAGCGUUGUAUACGCGGUGAAACAGUAGCGCAAGCGGCUGUGGAGUGUAUAGAAGUGAGAAUGCCGGAAUGAGUAGCGCGAAUGCAGUGAGAAUCUGCAUGGCCGAAAGCCUCAGGUUUCUGGAGGAAGGUUCGUCCGCUCCAGGUUAGUCGGGAGCUAAGGUGAGGCCUAACGGCGUAGCCGAUGCACAGACGGUAGAGAUUCCGUCACCACCAAAAGAGUUAAACACAGGGACACAUUUGAAGUCUCGGAGCCGGGUGUUGGUUCCGGUAGCGAUCGAGGGAAAUUAGUACCGAAGUCCGGGAUGGAAGAUGGCGAGAAAAGCUGUGUGUAUUUCUGCGGUGCCCGUACCGCAAACCGACACAGGUAGGUAGGAAGAAGAUUCUAAGGCCAACGGGAGAAGGGUUGUUAAGGAACUCGGCAAAUUGACCCCGUAACUUCGGGAGAAGGGGUGCUCCAGAGAUGGAGCCGCAGAGAAUCGGCCCAAGCAACUGUUUACCAAAAACACAGGUUUGUGCUAAAUCGAAAGAUGAUGUAUACGAGCUGACGCCUGCCCGGUGCUGGAAGGUUAAGAGGAGAUGUGCAAGCAUUGAAUCGAAGCCCCAGUGAACGGCGGCCGUAACUAUAACGGUCCUAAGGUAGCGAAAUUCCUUGUCAGGUAAGUUCUGACCCGCAUGAAAGGCGUAAUGAUUUGGGCACUGUCUCGACAGCCCGCCCGGCGAAAUUGUAGUACCGGUGAAGAUGCCGGUUACCCGCGACAAGACGGAAAGACCCCAUGGAGCUUUACUGUAGCCUAAUAUUGGGUUUCGAUGUUGCAUGCACAGGAUAGAUGGGACACAGGGAAACAAGUGCUUUGGCAUUUGUGGAGUGGCCGUUGGGAUACCAUCCUUGCGAUAUUGGAAUUCUAACCUGCGCCUUUGAAUCAAGGCGGGGGACAU
rnacentral:rRNA from 1 species